rnacentral:rRNA from 1 species
GAUGAACGCUAGCUACAGGCUUAACACAUGCAAGUCGAGGGGAAACGAUAUUGGAAGCUUGCUUCCGAUAGGCGUCGACCGGCGCACGGGUGAGUAACGCGUAUCCAACCUGCCCAUCACUUGGGGAUAACCUUGCGAAAGUAAGACUAAUACCCAAUGAUAUCCGUCGAAGACAUCUGAAGUGGAUUAAAGAUUCAUCGGUGAUGGAUGGGGAUGCGUCUGAUUAGCUUGUUGGCGGGGUAACGGCCCACCAAGGCGACGAUCAGUAGGGGUUCUGAGAGGAAGGUCCCCCACAUUGGAACUGAGACACGGUCCAAACUCCUACGGGAGGCAGCAGUGAGGAAUAUUGGUCAAUGGACGAGAGUCUGAACCAGCCAAGUAGCGUGCAGGAUGACGGCCCUAUGGGUUGUAAACUGCUUUAUAAGGGAAUAAAGUGAGUCUCGUGAGACUUUUUGCAUGUACCUUAUGAAUAAGGACCGGCUAAUUCCGUGCCAGCAGCCGCCGUAA